rnacentral:ribozyme from 1 species
AUACAUAUUAAAAAGAAACAACGUGACUGACGCACGCACAUGAUCGCGUGGUCCACUUUUUUUUUUUUUUUUUUUUUUUU